rnacentral:rRNA from 1 species
GACAGAGGGUGCAAACGUUGUUCGGAAUCACUGGGCUUAAAGCGCGUGUAGGCGGGCCGGCACGUCGGUCGCUGAAAGCCCCCGGCUCAACCGGGGAAGCGGCGCCGAUACGACCGGCCUGGAGGGGGGUAGGGGGAGCCGGAACUCACGGUGGAGCGGUGAAAUGCGUUGAGAUCGUGAGGAACGCCCGUGGCGAAAGCGGGCUCCUGGGCCCCGCCUGACGCUGAGACGCGAAAGCCAGGGGAGCGAACAGG